AAAUGCGAUAAUUAAUGUGAAUUGCAGAAUUCAGUGAAUCAUCGAGUCUUUGAACGCACAUUGCGCCCCCUGGUAUUCCGGGGGGCAUGCCUGUCCGAGCGUCAUUGCUGCCCUCAAGCACGGCUUGUGUGUUGGGCUUCCGUCCCUGGCAACGGGGACGGGCCCAAAAGGCAGUGGCGGCACCAUGUCUGGUCCUCGAGCGUAUGGUGCUUUGUCACCCGCUCCCGUAGGUCCAGCUGGCAGCUAGCCUCGCAACCAAUCUUUUUAACCAGGUUGACCUCGGAUCAGGUAGGGAUACCCGCUGAACUUAAGC
rnacentral:misc_RNA from 1 species